rnacentral:rRNA from 1 species
UACGUAGGAGGCAAGCGUUGUCCGGAUUUACUGGGUGUAAAGGGUCCGCAGGCGGGCCUGUGAGUCAGUGGUGAAAUCCUCCAGCUUAACUGGAGAGCUGCCUCUGAUACUGCAGGUCUUGAAUCAAGGAGAGGGGGACGGAAUUCCAGGUGUAGCGGUGAAAUGCUUAGAUAUCUGGAAGAACACCGGUGGCGAAGGCUGUUCCCUGGCCUUAGAUUGACGCUCAUGGACGAAAGCGUGGGGAUCAAACAGG